CGGAGGGUGCAAGCGUUAUCCGGAUUCACUGGGUUUAAAGGGUGCGUAGGUGGGUAGGUAAGUCCGUGGUGAAAUCCUGCAGUUUAACUGCAGAACUGCCGUGGAUACUAUCUCUCUUGAAUACCGUGGAGGUCAGCGGAAUAUGUCAUGUAGCGGUGAAAUGCUUAGAUAUGACAUAGAACACCAAUUGCGAAGGCAGCUGGCUACACGAAUAUUGACACUGAGGCACGAAAGCGUGGGGAUCAAACAGGAUUAGAUACCCUGGUAGUCCACGCCCUAAACUAUGGAUACUCGACAUACGCGAUACACUGUGUGUGUCUGAGCGAAAGCAUUAAGUAUCCCACCUGGGAAGUACGAUCGCAAGAUUG
rnacentral:rRNA from 1 species